AUUUAUAUAGUUUAUAUAACCAAACAUUACAUUUUCAAUGUAAAAAUAAGAAAUAAUCUUUAUAAAUA
rnacentral:tRNA from 1 species